UACGUAGGGUGCAAGCGUUGUCCGGAAUUAUUGGGCGUAAAGAGCUCGUAGGCGGUUUGUCGCGUCGAAUGUGAAAACCCGGGGCUCAACCCCGGGCCUGCAUUCGAUACGGGCAGACUAGAGUUCGGUAGGGGAGUCUGGAAUUCCUGGUGUAGCGGUGAAAUGCGCAGGAUAUCAGGAGGAACACCGGUGGCGAAGGCGGGACUCUGGGCCGAUACUGACGCUGAGGAGCGAAAGCUAGGGGAGCAAACAGG
rnacentral:rRNA from 1 species